rnacentral:other from 1 species
AUAAAGCUACAUUGCUCGUACAAUAUUAAGUUUUAACCUUUAUGCUGUAAAAGGGAGUUUUAAUCGUUUAGGAAAUGGCGUGCCUUCACUCUUUUGACUGAAGGAUAAACAGGAACUAAAUUGCGAACACCCACUUUGAGGAGUGGUGGUUUAAAACUUUCUAUUCAUAUUACGUCAUUGUAGCUUUAUA